CUUAUCCAGAGCGGCAGAGGGACUGGCCCGAUGAAGCCCGGCAACCGGCGCGGAUAUGCGCGCAAGGUGCCAAUUCCAGCGGCGUGGCUGUCACGCCGGCAGAUAAG
rnacentral:ncRNA from 1 species